AUUGAACGCUGGCGGCAGGCCUAACACAUGCAAGUCGAGCGGAUGAACGGUGCUUGCUCCUGGAUUCAGCUGCCGACGGGUGUGUAAUUCCUACGUAUCUGCCUGGUAGUUGUGUCUAACGUCCUUACACGGGCCCUAAUACCCCAUUCGUUCUUAGUUUGAACGUGUUGGAUCUUCGGACCUUACGCUUUUUGUUGUUCCUAGGUCGCAUUAGCUAGUUGGUUUGGUAAAGUCCUACCAAGCCGACGAUCCGUAACUUGUCUGAUAGGAUGAUCAGUCACACUGGAACUGAGACACGGUCCAGACUACUACGGGAGGCAGCAGUGGGGAAUAUUGGACAAUGGGCGAAAGCCUGAUCCAGCAAUGCCGCGUGUGUGAAGAAGGUCUUCGGAUUGUAAAGCACUUUAAGUUGGGAAGAAGAGAAGUAAGUUAAUACCUUGAUGUUUUGACGGUACCAAAAGAAAAAGCAACGGCUAACUACGUG
rnacentral:rRNA from 1 species